GUGCCGCCCGGAAGCUGGGGAUUCCGGGUUCUGCGCGGUGGUGGGGGUCGUGCAGGGACAAGCUUUGGGCCCCGGCAUGGCACCGUCCCUUGGGGGUCCUGCCAGCCGCUGAUAGCGGACCGAUUACAUUCCCUCUUCCUCCGUUAUUGGCAGACAUCCAUCUUCGCGGGAGGAAAAGCAGGAUCAAUUACACCUAAAGGUAGCAAAGCUCCGUCGGACUCCUGGUUUCACCUGCAUCAAAUGACUGCAAGUUCUCCCACACACACCUGCGACCACCCAGACCCUCCCCUCUCCCCGGCCCACCCGUUAGUCUCCCCCUCCCCUCCUGACCCCAGUAAUUAACUGAGCACCGUGGCUGAGUGCCUGAGCAGGGCCACGCCCAUGCGGCGGGUUCCCUCUCUGGGCAGACAGGCCCUCCCCCACCGAGAACACUGCCCCACCACGUGCUGACCCGAGCCCAGACCCUGUCCCAUCCCAGACCCCACCGGUCCCCCAGCUCCUGCCUCACACAUGCAGCUGGCCACCAGCAGGUUCGUGACACACCAGCCAGACCCCCCCCCCCUGCCCACAUCAGUGGCCCCCAAAGGUGAAGGUGGCAUCCAGUGUGCUGGCCGUGGCCUCUGGACUUUAUUCCAGCCCUGGGCCUUGGCUGGGGUGAACAGCCGGCUGGAGAGCCAUGUCCUGACUCCAUGCUGGAGGGAAGAGGGGGAGGCAGGGUCAGGCCAGGGUCACCAGCCAGGUCAGCUGUAGCUGUCAGGGUCCGUGUCAUCUGGCAGAAAAUAGCGUUGCAGGGCAGGCUGCAGGAGCUGCGGGGACAGCGGAUGGGCAGGCCUGGGCCAGUCUGGGGGGAAAGGCUGCAGUUCCACCCGGGGCAGUGGCAGCUUCAGCAUCCGGAUGGCGCCAUCCAGGGUGCGGCCCGCCCAGAGCCGGGACAGCAUUCGGCCUGGGGGCCAGCAGUAUAGUGAGACCUUGGGGUGGGGUGAAUGCUCCGCGGGAACUGGGGUGGGGUGGACGUCAGGGUCCGAUUUCUACCCCUGCCCCUACUCACCCCUCAGUUUCAUUGGAGACCUCUGGACCUUGGCCUCCUGAAGCCGGAGGAUGGAGUAGUGCCUGGAGGGUAAGGAGGCAGGUUUGGCUGAGCCCACGCCUCAGCUGUUCCACACAGGCUCUGCCCCAGCCUCUUCCAGGGACCCGUGGCGUGCUCACCGGGGUUCCCGGGGCUGUGGCACCACCAUGCUGGGCCUCCGUGGGGGCGGGCAAGGGGGCAGGGUCUUGGGCUCCUCCUGCAGGGGGCCCUGCUGCCGAGCCCGCUGCUUCUCGCAGAAGAAGUUGAGUGCGUCGAUGGGCCCCAGGUCCAGCAUUUUUGACUGUGACCAGUUCGUCUGCUCCAGAGGCAGCAGCUCAUCAGGCAGUGCGGCUGGCGCGGAGGAUCGCAAGUGGGCCUCAGGCAAGGGGCAGAAGUGCGUCAGUGUUUCAGACAGUGCACGUCGGGUCCGCCCAAAGCGCAUCUGUGCGAGCGUCUGCUGGGCCUGUGACUCCAGGGCGGCCGAGUCCGGCUCUCCGGGUGAGACCACCGGUGAGGGCGUCCGGGAGAUGCUUGAGGGCAUCACAGAGAUAUGAACAGUUGCCCCAGAGACCAUGGAAAUCUGCGACAGGGCCUCCUUCGAAGGAGGGUGAAGUGCUGAGGUCUCUGAGACCUCGGGCAGCAUCUCUGACAACUUGGCUACCGGCGGCGGCACAGUUUCCAUCUGCUGGGGAGUUGGCCAGUGGAGGCCGGAGAGGUGCUGCCCUUGGCUCCAAGCCUGAGACCCCACCCCAGACUCCCUCCUGGGGAGGCGCAGGAAGAUCCCAGGAGAUGGGGAAGGGGUGAGAGAUGGGGGAGGAUGGAAGAGGCGCAGAGCCAGAGCGGGGCAAGGAGACUGCUGGCCUCACCUGGCUCUCCGCUCUGCACUUGGGAAAAGCCUGGGGAGAAGGCAAGAGGCUCUGCGGGCAGGUGGCCCGCCCCCGCCCCCGCCCCGCCCCCACUCCCGCGCCCGCCCAGACCUUCAGCUGCCAGAUCAUUUCCUCCAGCUUCUGGCAGCAGCGCUUGCGCAGUGCGGCCUUGGAGUCGAGGUCCGGGCCCUGGACCCAGGUCAUCAUCUCCUUGAACAGGAAGCCCUGCGGGUCCUGAAGGCCGAGUCCAUCCAGCAGCUUCCUGAGCUCCGGCCUGGGACAGGUGUGGGAGGCUCCUGGGCGGCCUCCCCGGCAGCAGCGGGGAGGGGGGAGGGGAAGGGAGCAGGACUCACCGGCAGGAGGCUGGCGAGUAAAGGAAGUAGCACAGGAGCUCCAGCACCACCUCGCGGGACUCCAGAGAGCAGGCCAGGAGCAGCUGCAGCGCCAGCAUCACAAACCGCUUCUGCAUCCCGUCCUGAGCGCAGGGGGAGCGACACUGCGGCCCGAGGCCUGGGGCGGGGCGGGGCCGCUCGCGGGACUAGGGGCUCACCUGGAGGCUGGGGGGCCGGUCCAGGUUGAGCAAGCGCACGAGGAUGCCCUGCAGCCGGCUACAGAGGUCUCUGCUGACGUCGGGCAGCAGCCUCAGCAGCGCGUGCAGAAUGUGCACGCGGUCUGCCCAAGAGGCCUCGUCCAGCAGGUCCAUGAACAGCAAGGCCAGGCCCUCCACCGUGCCCACCUCGGGGUAUGCCUGCAGGGAUCUGGUGCUGAGGCCUGGCCCCCUGCGCCGCACCCGGGCGCUCCAGCCUCCCCCUCCCAUACCUGAGCCUGUGCUUCCAAAACUCCCCCGAACCUGCAGAGUGAAGAUGGGGAAGAGCUUUUUGAACCAGUUCUGGCCGACGAAAAAAUGCAGGAACCUAGGCAGAUGCCCGUAGCGCUCUUCCCAGAGCGAGUGCCCAUAGUGGAACUGGGGGCAGUGAAGACCGGUCUCGGCCCUGGCGGUGUCCUCGCGGGAGCCCAUGGGCUUCGGGAUGAGACACUCGGGGCUCUAGGGGCAGCGGCAGCAGCUGCAGACCCUGCCCUCCCCACGCAGCUCCUGCGCCGCUGCCCAGCCCAGCCCCGGACGCCCACCUGCGCCUCCUGCUCCUCGGACUCCAGCAGCUGGUCAGAGAGCUGCCUGUAGGGGCCCAGCGAAUCCGAGGCCCCGUCCAGAUCCUCCUCCCCCUCCUCUCCCAACGACUGGAUCAGCUUCUCCCGCCGCUUGGCGCGCUGCCGCGGCAGCCACAGGUCGUCCUGGCUCCCGCCUGGCUGCGAAGUGGAGAGCGAGGCCGUGGCCACGGGCGCGGCUUGGAGCCGGCCCCGCCCCCCGCAGACCCCGCCCAGCCCCGCCCCGCCCCUUGCCUUGCUCUCGCAGCGGCGCCCGAGCGGGCCUAGGGCUCCGAGGCCGCUGACCUCCACAGGCUGCCACAUCUGCUGCAGCACCGCGGAGUUGGGCACGCAGCCCGGGAAGCGGAUGGGCCGCUGCCAGUACUGCAGGUGGAGCACAGCGGGGCAGGUUGAGGGCCUGGACUCCACCUGCCCCAGAGACCACGCUGGCAGGGCACCCGGCCACCAGCCCAGCUCUGCCCGCCCGAUGUCCAAGAGCUGAGUUGGGCUCACACGCCCUGCCCACGACACACAGACAAGAAGAGAGAAUCUCUAGAAAUCAGGCCGAAGGGCAGGCAGUGGACGCAAUGGCGGUGACGGGGCCUGGGCCGUGCGCCUCCGUACGGAAGACCGUCUUCGAGGAGCACAACUCGAGUACGGACAGAG